rnacentral:rRNA from 1 species
UUUAAUAGAAGAGUUUGAUCAUGGCUCAGAUUGAACGCUGGCGGCAGGCCUAACACAUGCAAGUCGAGCGGUAACAGGAAAGCGCUUGCGCUUUUGCUGACGAGCGGCGGACGGGUGAGUAAUGUCUGGGGAUCUGCCCGAGGG